AGAUCCUGCUUCCACCUCAACCACCCUGGUCUUCUAGCUCAGACUUCACCGUUGGGUUAUAAAUCGCAAGCGCUGCAGCCUCCUCGUCCUCCCAACCCUAGAGUUCUAGACGUCGAGCUCACCCAGGACCUGACUCGUGGAAAAGCAGAGAGGAGCAUUGCCACCUGGUUACUCGCCCAUGCUGUCGUUCUGAGCGCAUGGUCGAGUCAAGGUGCAUCGCGGGUGGUUGGUGAAGUCGUUCAUGGGCUCGACGGCAAGGAUUGACCAUUGGGGCGGUGGAGAUUGCUCACCGGAACCACUGCGCCGUCGUGGAGCUGCGUUCCAUCAUGGGCGAUUGUCUCUACGCCCGAAUCCGCGAUGAGCAAGUGAUCGAGGACCUCGGUACCCUGUGGGUGGAAAAUACUGAGCAGGAACUCGUUGAAGGCAAGUUGUGCCCUUGAUCACUCUUCGUUACCUAAUAAUGUUCGAUGUUAAUCACUGUGACUUGCUCAUGUUAAUUUGAUGGGAUCUAAUAGCUUUCCCUAGCAUUGUUUAUCCCCCACCUUGCAAACAGAUGAAUUAUUGGAUAGAUUUGCUAUUGCUCUACCUGAUUUUUGGAAAUUAAUGUUU
rnacentral:lncRNA from 7 species